rnacentral:lncRNA from 1 species
GCAGCAGAACUCAGUAAACUGAAUUAACAAUAACAUACAACAAGACAGUAUGAUCAGUAGCUUGAUUUUAUUUUGUUUUCAGUUCAAGUGGCACAACAUCUCUCUGCAGCCAUAACGGCUCUCCUUUUUUUUUUUUUUUUUUUUUUUUCCAGGAACUCCUUAGUUAGGCAGUGUUUUGGAAAACAGUAUUGCUUCUCUUCUGCUGAAAGGAAAAAGGUUGCAACAUUGCAUGGCAGAUAAUGUAUGACCCAUGAUAACAAAUCAAUGAAAUAUUUCUAAGAAUUCUGCUUGUGCUGUUUUCUAUCUCUACCACUUAGUGAAAGUAAGAAACUUUCUGGAAGGUAGUGCCUUAGGGUCACAGAAGAAAGAAAGAAAUGUUCUUAAAAGACUUUACUAGGAAUUGCCCUGCAAUUGUGUCCUGCUGUAACCCUUUGGUCUCUGUCUGCUCCUGACCCUGGCUGCUCAGAGGAAGGCUUGCUGGACUGGCUGCACUGCAGAGCACAAACUGGCCUCUACUUCAGUCCCGUGACUCAGAAGAGAAAUGUGUCCUUGACAAGCUGUCUCCUAGCACAGAUACAUCUGGAACAUGCAGCAAUCUUUGGAAAGGUUGAAUAAAGCUAGAGAUGUUCAUUGCCAAGGUACUCAGCUCCUCUUGUGCACUGUGCCUUGGAGUGUGACUUGUGCAGCCUCCAGAGGGAACUCUGACUGCUGCACACUUGGGAAAGACCCUCUGCUCCUUGGGAACCUGCUACCUCUGCUUUCUGGAGAUGCCUGGUCAGUGGCUUAGUCAUGGCUUUUGGCUUCUCUUCUGCCAUCUAUCACGAGUUCCUGGGUGGUCCAGCUCAGUGAAUGCAUCUGUCUGUAAAAUAACCAUCCGGGUAGAAACAAAUUGUAAUGCUUGAGAAAAGUGUGCUUUUGCAUACAGAUUGUUUAAAAAUCAGUAUCUUUAGUAUUUCCUACUGCCUUCCUAUUUUUUUUUUCCUGCUGGAAGCGGAUGUUGCAUCAAUAAAAGCUAUGACAAAAGACUUGUACUAUACUCA